rnacentral:rRNA from 1 species
GAUGAACGCUAGCGGCAGGCCUAAUACAUGCAAGACGAACGGUAAGUUUGUAGCAAUAUGAACUGAGAGUGUCGUAAGGGUGCGUAACACGUAUGCAAUCUGCCCUCAACAGGAGAAUAGCUCCCCGAAAGGGGAAUUAACACUCCGUAACAAGAUGGUGAGGCAUCUCACUAUUUUUAAAACUCCGGUGGGUGAGGAUGAGCAUGCGCAUGAUUAGUUAGUUGGCGGGGUAACGGCCCACCAAGACGAUGAUCAUUAGGGGAACUGAGAGGUUGAUCCCCCACACUGGCACUGAGAUACGGGCCAGACUCCUACGGGAGGCAGCAGUAGGGAAUAUUGGACAAUGGGUGCGAGCCUGAUCCAGCCAUGCCGCGUGCAGGAAGACGGCCUUCUGGGUUGUAAACUGCUUUUGCCAGGGGAUAAAAAGCCCUUGCGAGGGAAAUUGAAGGUACCUGGUGAAUAAGCCACGGCUAACUACGUGCCAGCCGCCGCUGUAAGAC